rnacentral:rRNA from 1 species
UGGGGAAUAUUGCACAAUGGGCGAAAGCCUGAUGCAGCAACGCCGCGUGCGGGAUGACGGCCUUCGGGUUGUAAACCGCUUUCAGCAGGGACGAAGGUUUUCUGACGGUACCUGCAGAAGAAGCACCGGCUAACUACGUGCCAGCAGCCGCGGUGAUACGUAGGGUGCGAGCGUUGUCCGGAAUUAUUGGGCGUAAAGAGCUUGUAGGCGGUCCGUUGCGUCGGAAGUGAAAACUCAGGGCUUAACCCUGAGCCUGCUUUCGAUACGGGCGGACUUGAGGGAUGUAGGGGAGAACGGAAUUCCUGGUGGAGCGGUGGAAUGCGCAGAUAUCAGGAGGAACACCAGUGGCGAAGGCGGUUCUCUGGACAUUUCCUGACGCUGAGAAGCGAAAGCGUGGGGAGCAAACAGGCUUAGAUACCCUGGUAGUCCACGCCGUAAACGGUGGGCACUAGGUGUGGGACCCAUUCCACGGGUUCCGUGCCGUAGCUAACGCAUUAAGUGCCCCGCCUGGGGAGUACGGCCGCAAGGCUAAAACUUAAAGGAAUUGACGGGGUCAU